rnacentral:lncRNA from 1 species
AGAGUAAAACCUAUUCCUAACCCAUCAAAAAGUCUUAUAAUGAGAAUUGCAACUGAAUACCAAGUUAGCAGGUACCAAAUGAUUGGAAUGAUAUACUUGACAUGUGGCUUCAACACCCGAGGGAGCAUAUUCCCAUAAAGGACCUUCCGAUAGCCAGAAACGAGAGGCUUGCAUCUUGCCGGGGAGAGAGGGUCCACCUUGCGUCUAGAUUCAAUAUAAUUAGUGGAGAAACUAAUUGAUUACUCUAACAAUCUUAUCAAGUCUAUCAAUUCAUUCAAUAACCU